GCUUAGCAACCUGGUGCACCAGGGUCACUAAGGCCCAUGGCUAUCUCCAGAUAUGUGUGUCAUACCCUCCCAGCAGCCAAGACUCACAUUCUUCAGAGUUGACCCAAGGCACUGAGGAGGAGGCCUGGCCACGGGGUAGGGGAACAUCACACACCUCAUAUGGAGAGGGUCUUGGUGGGGAAACGGUCUCCAAGAGACCAAGUUCAAAGACCCCACAAAGUGGCCUGGUUCCAUAAACUCUGGCRCAGAAAGAAAAGAAGGGAAGAGAAGCAGAGUCCUCGGGCCCCCUCAUGAUCUACCGUUUCUAAAUCGAGCACUUUGGAAAACUGAGGCACUGCUGGGAAUGGAAGAGAAAGCCAGGAAGAGCCCAACAUCCUGCACAAAUCCCAUUGUCCCAGAGACGAUAUAGGUCAGAGGUGGAAUCCUUGCUGAGCUCCAUAUCCUUCCCUGGCUGACGGGGUCCGUGUUGAGGAGGGGUCCACCAUGUACCUCCAAGGGAGGAGCAGGGAUUCCUUUUUGUUCUUGUUGGAAAGUAAAUCAGGGGGUCAUUCUCUGCCCCUACCUCAGUGCUCAGUGCUUUAGGACUAUCCAAAGGUUGGAAGUGUCCUGGGGAGAGAAAAUUCAACCUAGGCUGCUUACCCCACCCUCAGUUACCCCAGAGGCCUAUCCCCUGGAGAAGUCAUACACACUAAUUAACAAUUAGUGCCUGGGUGCCCAGGGGCUCAGGAGG